rnacentral:rRNA from 1 species
CUCAUAGCGUAUAUUAAGUUGUUGCAGUUAGAACGCUCGUAGUCGGAUUUCGGGGCGGGCCGACCGGUCUGCCGAUGGGUAUGCACUGGCCGGCGCGUCCUUCCUCUCGGAGACCGUUCCUACUCUUAACUGAGCGGGAGCGGGAGACGGGACUUUUACUUUGAAAAAAUCAGAGUGUUUCAAGCAGGCAGCUCGCUCUUGCAUGGAUUAGCAUGGGAUAAUGAAAUAGGACUUUGGUGCUAUUUUGUUGGUUUCGAACACCGAAGUAAUGAUGAGAAGGGACAGUCAGGGGCACUCGUAUUCCGCCGAGAGAGGUGAAAUUCUCAGACCAGCGGAAGACGAACCACUGCGAAAGCAUUUGCCAGGGAUGUUUUCACUGAUCAAGAACGAAAGUUAGGGGAUCGAAGACGAUCAGAUACCGUCGUAGUCUUAACCAUAAACCAUGCCGACUAGGGAUCGGAGGAUGUUCACAUAUUGACUCCUUCGGCACCUUACGGGAAACUAAAGUCUUUGGGUUCCGGGGGGAGUAUGGUCGCAAGGCUGAAACUUAAAGGAAUUGACGGAAGGGCACCACCAGGUGUGGAGCCUGCGGCUUAAUUUGACUCAACACGGGGAAACUUAC